rnacentral:lncRNA from 1 species
CCCAAAUUGGUUUGGCUCCUUCCCUGUAACACCCCCUCCUCAACUCAGGACUGAACUAGUGAUUCCAUCUUGGGCCCAGCCAAACGGGGUCCAGUCCCCUCCCUUCCUAGCUGGAUGGAUUCGGAAAGUGCACCCAGGAGGAAGGAAUGCAUCAAACUGGAAGAUACUGAACCCAGAAAUGAGCCCCAGAGUCAUGGAAGAUCUCAUUUUUAGGAUACAGAAGCUCUGCCCUGGAUAAAGACAGAGAAGACUACAGUUACACUUAAGGACAGCAUCGCAAAAUGCGGCCUACUGAAAAGAGACGAGGUCACUGGGCUAAUCACUGUUGGGAGAGGUUGAUGUCAUUCUCUUGGGACUCAGGUGAGUUUCUAUAGUUGUGAAUUAUUAUUAAAAGAUUCAUACACACCUCAGCAUUUGAGCUCUCCUUGUAUGUGCUUCCACCAUGAUGCUAUUCAUCUUGUUGAAAUUCAGGCAGGGCUGCAG